UCCCCCCGGGGGACGGUCGGGGGAGGUCGUGAGCGCGUCUUCGGGGCUUCUCGGCCGGGCCGGCUUCGCGGGGAGGGGGCGGCGGCGGCGGCAGGUAGCGGUGGACGAUGGCGGGCGGCGAUCCCCUGAGCCAGAGCUGGCUGAAGCCGCCGGGGAACGGACUUCUGCUCCGAUGCCAGCCGACAGCUGCGAUGCAACGCAGCUCCCCGAGCGGAGGAAUGAAGCGGAGAACCGGGCCAGGGCUUGCAGCGGCUCUUCUAUAAGAUGCGGCGAGGGGUCGCCCGCUGAUUUGGGGGCUGGCUCGCUUGCAACGACCCGGAGAAAAACUAAAGCGCAUUUCCCCCGCUCCCCCCCCCCCUAUAAUGGGACCGGGCAUCGGAGGUUAUCCCGUCUCCCAGCACAGAGGGAGCCUGCAAAACCUGGUUCAUGAAACCUACGAAGGCAGCGGAAUGGUAACUUCCAGUGGAGGAAAGAACCACUCAAGCACAAAAGAACUAAAGAAAUCAUCGUUUCUAAAACCUUCUUCCAAGAAGCCAGUGAAAAACACAUCUGCGAUUGCAGAAAAGGCUCCUGUAGAGGCCACAGACAGACAGAUAACAGCUCAGUACAAAGAGAAAAAGCAAGUUUACGAAGGGCAUCAACCAAAC
rnacentral:lncRNA from 1 species